UGAGAGGGCUACAGCUUUGGGGUACCGGGUGGCGUAGUCCACUACGGUUAAAAUAUACUUCUUGCCCGAGGGACAGGGCUUGGGCAAGGGGCCUACUAUAUCUACGGCCACCCUACUAAAGGGUUCUUCAAUGAUGGGCAGGGGGCAUAAUUUGGCCAUGUGGCGGUCACCCCUCUUGCCCACUCGCUGGCAAAUGUUGCAUGACUGGCAGUACUGCCGCACAUCUGUAGAUAUCCCUGGCCAGAAAACGGUGUGGGUAAAACGGUAUCGGGUGCGUGUCAUCCCCAGAUGCCCAGACAAGGGAAUGUCGUGAGCGAUCCUAAGCAGUUCUUGCCUAUACUUUU